GGGGGACCUUCGGGCCUCUUGCCAUCGGAUGUGCCCAGAUGGGAUUAGCUAGUAGGUGGGGUAACGGCUCACCUAGGCGACGAUCCCUAGCUGGUCUGAGAGGAUGACCAGCCACACUGGAACUGAGACACGGUCCAGACUCCUACGGGAGGCAGCAGUGGGGAAUAUUGCACAAUGGGCGCAAGCCUGAUGCAGCCAUGCCGCGUGUAUGAAGAAGGCCUUCGGGUUGUAAAGUACUUUCAGCGGGGAGGAAGGGAGUAAAGUUAAUACCUUUGCUCAUUGACGUUACCCGCAGAAGAAGCACCGGCUAACUCCGUGCCAGCAGCCGCCGUAAUCCGGAGGGU
rnacentral:rRNA from 1 species